rnacentral:rRNA from 1 species
CGGCAAUAGCUCAAGUUUAGAAUCUGUGCUCGUCUCGGGCACCGAAUUGUAAUCUAAAGGGGCUAACAAAAGGGGAUGUGGAAGCAUAAGUUCCUUGGAAAAGGACGUCAAAGAGGGUGAAAACCCCGUAUGUAGCUUCCGCUGAACCGAAUGUUGACCUUCUAA